rnacentral:lncRNA from 1 species
AGAAUUUCGCCGAUGUCGGAGAAGCUGGAGUUGAGGAGAUCGCGGCCACCAUCAGGACCUGUAAAGAAAGUCUAAACCGAAAUUGGAUGUGCUCCAGCAAGAUCCUCCGACACUCAAGUCAGUACUCUGCCUCAACAGAAAUGGAGCACUCGAACGGGAUUUUAGCAGAGUUUAGAGAUGUGCUUAGAGCUUAGAGGAGAACGUAUCUGGGGGAUCUCUUUUAU